CUUGGUCAUUUAGAGGAAGUAAAAGUCGUAACAAGGUUUCCGUAGGUGAACCUGCGGAAGGAUCAUUAGCGAAAUCCAAAUUGGUUGGUGUCCUGACGCCGAAAGGGUUGGGUCCUUCCAUCAUCUCAUACACCUUUGUCGAACUGUGAGGGAAUUGGCUGUGAAGCCUUUUCUCUGUCUUUUUCAUACUCUUAAAGUCUGAGAAUGAAGUCUUGGUUAAAACCAAAAUAAAAUUUUCAACAACGGAUCUCUUGGCUCUCGCAUCGAUGAAGGACGCAGCGAAAUGCGAUAAGUAAUGUGAAUUGCAGAAUUCAGUGAAUCAUCGAAUCUUUGAACGCAUCUUGCACCCUGGGGUAUUCCCUAGGGUAUGUCUGUCUGAGUGUUAUUUGACUUCUCAAAGUCUCUUUCCUUUGAUCGGGUCAGAGUGCUUUGGAUCUUGGGUGUUUGCAAGUUUUGGCUUGCUCACUUUAAAUGGAAUGCGGCAUUCACCUCUGAAGCUACUGUCAGGUUUGACCUGGAGUGAUAGAAGUCUUUCGAGAUCUCUAGGAAACCAUCAUCUGAUGGUGCCUGUGGCGGUGGGAGGGAGUGUCUGACAGACUCAUCUGACAUUUUUGACCUCAGAUCAGACAGGACUACCCGCUGAACUUAAGCAUAUCAAUAAGCGGAGGAAAAGAAACUAACAAGGAUUCCCCUAGUAACGGCGAGUGAAGCGGGAAGAGCUCAAAUUUGUAAUCUGGCCGGUCUCCGGUCCGAGUUGUAAUCUGUAGAGCUAUCACUGUGCCAGUCCUCUCAUGAGUCCGUUGGAAUACGGCGUCAAAGAGGGUGAGAACCCCGUUCUUGGUGAGGUCUCUGGUGCUCUGUGUGAUGGUUUCGAAGAGUCGAGUUGUUUGGGAAUGCAGCUCAAAUUGGGAGGUAGAUUCCUUCUAAAGCUAAAUAUUGGCGAGAGACCGAUAGUAAACAAGUACCGUGAGGGAAAGAUGAAAAGCACUUUGGAAAGAGAGUUAACAGUACGUGAAAUUGUUGAAAAGGAAACGCUUGAAGUCAGACGUGCCCAACCGUGUUCAGCCUCUUGGUGUAUUCACGGUGGCAGGCUAACAUCGGUUUCGAGGGUCGGAUAAGGGUAGGGGGAAUGUGGCAGCUUCGGUUGUGUUAUAGCUCCUUGCUUGAUACGACUCUUGAGACUGAGGACUGCGGCUCGCCUCGUGGCAGGGGACUUGUCCUCUUCCGAGCCUAGGAUGUUGGUGUAAUGGCUUUAAACGACCCGUCUUGAAACACGGACC
rnacentral:rRNA from 1 species